UACUAAGUCCAGCAUUCCGUCUGUGUUAUAUCUGUUGCUACAGAAAUCCUGUUAACUCAGCAGGAAAAAAGUUAACAUUUCGCCUAAGGUAUAUAACAGUUUAGACGGAUUUUUUUCUUUUUUCCAUGUCCGCCUUAAUUCCGUCUAAAAGUCUAGAUUUUUAAGCGGAUUCCGCCUGGGUUCCUGCUAAUUUUAAGCGGAAUCCCCCUAAAAUUCUCAUACGGG
rnacentral:lncRNA from 1 species